rnacentral:rRNA from 1 species
ACUAUUAGUUAAGGUCUUUAAACCCAAAGAAUUUGGCGGUAUCUUAUUCCAUUCAGAGGAACCUACCCCGUAAUUGAUAGUACACGAUUAACUCUACUUAAUUUAUUUGUUUGUAUAUCUCCGUUAUCAGAAAAUCUUUUUAGAGUUAUAAUUUUCUUAAUUUAUAAUUGUAAAGUAUUUCAGGUCAAGGUGCGGCUUAUAAUUAAGAGGAGGUGGGUUACAAUAGAUUUUUGUCUAUAACGGAUUUGAUGGUGAAAUACUGUUAAUGAAGGUGGAUUUGAUAGUAAUUUGACAUAUUUAGUUUAUUUGAUAUUGGCUCUGAGGUGUGU